rnacentral:rRNA from 1 species
GACGAACGCUGGCGGCGUGCUUAACACAUGCAAGUCGAACGGAGAGGCCUUUUCGGAGGUACUCGAGUGGCGAACGGGUGAGUAACACGUGGGUGAUCUGCCCUGCACUCUGGGAUAAGCCUGGGAAACUGGGUCUAAUACCGGAUAGGACCGCACUUUAGUGUGUGUGGUGGAAAGUUUUUUCGGUGUAGGAUGAGCCCGCGGCCUAUCAGCUUGUUGGUGGGGUAAUGGCCUACCAAGGCGGCGACGGGUAGCCGGACUGAGAGGUUGGUCGGCCACAUUGGGACUGAGAUACGGCCCAGACUCCUACGGGAGGCAGCAGUGGGGAAUAUUGCACAAUGGGCGCAAGCCUGAUGCAGCGACGCCGCGUGGGGGAGGACGGCCUUCGGGUUGUAAACUCCUUUCGCCAGGGACGAAGCGUUUUGUGACGGUACCUGGAGAAGAAGCACCGGCUAACUACGUG